ensembl:lncRNA
GUGAGACAGGCUGGCAGGGUUUCUCUUCAGCCGUUCCUGCCUGUCAAUCUGCCCCACUCCCAUCUCACAUCUGUGCACUCAUCUUAUCCAACUCUCCUUUCCCACAUUUUACAUGAAGUGUGUGUCAAAGACAGAGACAGACAAGGACAGAGAGACCCAGAGAGAGCACGUCCCCUCACCACCUCAUUUCAGAACCACAGCAUCCGCGCCUCAGGAUAACGCUGUGCUGCUUGUUUAUCUCUUCUGUUUCCGUUCCCUGACUCCUGGCCUGCUUGGCCCUCUCUCUCAUCACUGCUUUCCUUCCCUUUUCGUCUAUAAUUGUGUUUUUUAGGCUGUCCCUCUGGGUGAACAGAAAGAGCGGAGGGCCCAGCACUGCAGGUAUUGAGGGAAUGGGCCAGCUGUGUGCAAUGAGGAGACCCCCUCUCACCCUGGCCGGCUGCACACACGCCUACGAGGACGGCGCGGAACCCCUCAUUUGCACCCGCACAACUGCUGCGUAGGCUCCGUGGCCCGAACAGAGAAAGAGGCGGGUUGUGCUGCCAUCUGGCGUCCACACGAGAUAUCUCCUAGAAUAUCACAUGCAUGCUUUAAAGCUUCAAGAACCUCCGAAAUUUCCUCUUUUCUAUCACUAAAGGUUUUUAAGUCUAGUAAAUUAAACUUCAGGAAAUAAAAUGAACGCUAAUAAGCUGGCAC